rnacentral:rRNA from 1 species
GACGAACGCUGGCGGCGUGCUUAACACAUGCAAGUCGAGCGGUAAGGCCCUUUCGGGGGUACACGAGCGGCGAACGGGUGAGUAACACGUGGGUGACCUGCCUUUAGCUCUGGGAUAAGCCUGGGAAACUGGGUCUAAUACCGGAUACGACUCCGCGGUGCAUGCUGUGGGGUGGAAAGCCUUGUGCGGCUGGAGAUGGGCCCGCGGCCUAUCAGCUUGUUGGUGGGGUGAUGGCCACCAAGGCGACGACGGGUAGCCGGCCUGAGAGGGCGACCGGCCACACUGGGACUGAGACACGGCCCAGACUCCUACGGGAGGCAGCAGUGGGGAAUCUUGCGCAAGUGGGACGAAAGCCUGACGCAGCGACGCCGCGUGAGGGAU